GAUGAACGCUGGCGGCGUGCCUAAUACAUGCAAGUCGAGCGAACUGAUUAGAAGCUUGCUUCUAUGACGUUAGCGGCGGACGGGUGAGUAACACGUGGGCAACCUGCCUGUAAGACUGGGAUAACUUCGGGAAACCGAAGCUAAUACCGGAUAGGAUCCUCUCCUUCAUGGGAGAUGAUUGAAAGAUGGUUUCGGCUAUCACUUACAGAUGGGCCCGCGGUGCAUUAGCUAGUUGGUGAGGCAACGGCUCACCAAGGCAACGAUGCAUAGCCGUCCGGAGAGGGUGAUCGGCCACCAUGGGACGGAGACACGGCCCAGACUCCUACGGGAGGCAGCAGUAGGGGAUCUUCCGCAAUGGACGAAAGUCUGACGGAGCAACGCCGCGUGAGUGAUGAAGGCUUUCGGGUCGUAAAACUCUGUUGUUAGGGAAGAACAAGUACGAGAGUAACUGCUCGUACCUCGACGGCACCUAACCAGAAAGCCACGGCUAACUACGUGCCAGCCGCCGCCGUAAUAC
rnacentral:rRNA from 1 species